CGCAACCCCUGCUUUCAGUUACCAACGGGUCAUGCCGGGAACUCUGGAGAGACUGCCCAGGAGAACGGGGAGGAAGGUGGGGAUGACGUCAAGUCAGCAUGGCCUUUAUGCCUGGGGCUACACACGUGCUACAAUGGCCGGUACAAAGCGCUGCAAACCCGUAAGGGGGAGCCAAUCGCAAAAAACCGGCCUCAGUUCAGAUUGAGGUCUGCAACUCGACCUCAUGAAGGCGGAAUCGCUAGUAAUCCCGGAUCAGCACGCCGGGGUGAAUACGUUCCCGGGCCUUGUACACACCGCCCGUCACACCACGAAAGCCUGUUGUACCUGAAGUCGCCCAAGCCAACCGCAAGGAGGCAGGCGCCCACGGUAUGGCCGGUGAUUGGGGUGAAGUCGUAACAAGGUAAAG
rnacentral:rRNA from 1 species